rnacentral:rRNA from 1 species
CUCAUAGCGUAUAUUUAAGUUGUUGCAGUUAAAAAGCUCGUAGUCGGAUUUUGGCUGAGAACGGUCGGUCCGCCGUUAGGUGUGCACUGACUGGUCUCAGCUUCCUGGUGAGGAGGUGUGCUUCAUCGCCACUUAGUCACCGUGGUUACUUUGAAAAAAUUAGAGUGUUCAAAGCGGGCUUACGCUUGAAUAUAUUAGCAUGGAAUAACACCAUAGGACUCCUGUCCUAUUUCGUUGGUCUCGGGACGGGAGUAAUGAUUAAGAGGAACAGUUGGGGGCAUUCGUAUUUCAUUGUCAGAGGUGAAAUUCUUGGAUUUAUGAAAGACGAACUUCUGCGAAAGCAUUUGCCAAGGAUGUUUUCAUUGAUCAAGAACGAAAGUUGGGGGCUCGAAGAUGAUUAGAUACCAUCCUAGUCUCAACCAUAAACGAUGCCGACUAGGGAUUGGCGGAUGUUAAUUGAUGACUCCGCCAGCACCUUAUGAGAAAUCAAAGUUUUUGGGUCCCGGGGGGAGUAUGGUCGCAAGGCUGAAACUUAAAGGAAUUGACGGAAGGGCACCACCAGGCGUGGAGCCUGCGGCUUAAUUUGACUCAACACGGGGAAACUUACCAGGUCCAGACAUAGUAAGGAUUGACAGAUUGAGAGCUCUUUCUUGAUUCUAUGGGUG